rnacentral:rRNA from 1 species
UACGAAGGGGGCUAGCGUUGCUCGGAAUCACUGGGCGUAAAGCGCACGUAGGCGGCUUCUUAAGUCAGGGGUGAAAUCCUGGAGCUCAACUCCAGAACUGCCUUUGAUACUGAGGAGCUUGAGUCCGGGAGAGGUGAGUGGAACUGCGAGUGUAGAGGUGAAAUUCGUAGAUAUUCGCAAGAACACCAGUGGCGAAGGCGGCUCACUGGCCCGGUACUGACGCUGAGGUGCGAAAGCGUGGGGA